GUGCUGGAACGCAUAGAAGUGAGAAUGCCGGUAUGAGUAGCGAAAGACAGGUGAGAAUCCUGUCCACCGUAAGACUAAGGUUUCCAGGGGAAGGCUCGUCCGCCCUGGGUUAGUCGGGACCUAAGGAGAGACCGAAAGGUGUAUCCGAUGGACAACAGGUUGAUAUUCCUGUACUAGAGUAUGUAGUGAUGGAGGGACGCAGUAGGCUAACUAAAGCAGACGAUUGGAAGAGUCUGUCUAAGCAGUGAGGUGUGAAUUGAGUUAAAUGC
rnacentral:rRNA from 1 species